rnacentral:rRNA from 1 species
CAAUGGGGCCUAGUAAAGUGGCGUACGGGUGAGUAACACGUGGAUCAUCUACCCUCCUGUGGGGGAUAACCCGGGGAAACCUGGGCUAAUACCGCAUAAUAUCUGCAAAGAUCAAAGGAGUAAUUCGCUGGAGGAUGAGUCCGCGGCUGAUUAGCUAGUUGGCGGGGUAAAGGCCCACCAAGGCUCUGAUCGGUAGCCGGUCUGAGAGGACGCACGGCCACACUGGAACUGAAACACGGUCCAGACUCCUACGGGAGGCAGCAGUGGGGAAUCUUGCACAAUGGGGGAAACCCUGAUGCAGCGACGCCGCGUGGGUGAUGAAGCUCUUCGGAGUGUAAAGCCCUUUCGGCAGGGAAGAGAUAAGACGGUACCUGCAAAAGAAGCCCCGGCUAACUACGUGCCAGCAGCCGCGGUAAUACGUAGGGGGCUA